CGCCAUCAUAGCCCAAGUGCUCAAGUACAUCGAAGUCGCCUCUUCUGUUGGUGUGGCCGCAGCCAGAGUCGAGGGUGUACCUGACGUCGCGCACCGAAGCUCCGUUAUAGAAUCUGAAGUUGUCGAGUAUGUCGUUAAUGCAGUUGAGCACGAGGUUGGUCUCAUCCAGACAAGGUCCAUUGCAGUACUCAUCGGUGGCACUACGUGGUACGCUUAGAGUCCCUUGUGCGCCCAGUCUGUAGGACUCCUG
rnacentral:misc_RNA from 1 species